rnacentral:tRNA from 2 species
CGGGAUAUAGCGCAGUCUGGUAGCGCACUACACUGGGGGUGUAGUGGUCACAGGUUCAAAUCCUGUUAUCCCGACCA